AGCUCACAGAGCAACAGAUGUGGCCCACACCCAUUCGAGGGAGAGAGAAAAAAAAACACAUUGCGCAUGGGUCUCCAACUUAACACCACUGUCAACUUAACAGCAAAGCAGUUGCACAAAUUCAUCAAGAAAAGGGAGUUAACGAAAAACGUAUUGUUUGACUUGGAAUGGCACUGACUGACAUCAUCAUGAAGGCAUCAACCACAGCAGGUCCGGCAAUAACCAUGACAUCGCCAGAAGCCUUCGAACAAGGAAUCAUUGAGGACGUCACCCGUCUGGUCACACAGAAUUUCACAGAACACUUCACACAACCCUUCAGAGCUGGAGUUCUGACAACAACUUCUGCAGAUAUGACUGAAACAAACUCAGCCGCUUUUUUAGUGGGAGCCGCCCACGUAGAGGAUGGAUCCUUUGAAGCCAUUUUCGGAGUGGAAGAGUUGAGCUCUCCAACAGCAUCCAUCUGUGAUGAGCAUGUCCUGCACUGAAACCUAGCCACUGAACACCUCUACCCCUGUCCUGCACUGAAACCUAGCCACUGAACACCUCUACCCCUGUCCUGCACUGAAACCUAGCCACUGAACACCUCUACCCCUGUCCUGCACUGAAACCUAGCCACUGAACACCUCUACCCUGUCCUGCACUGAAACCUAGCCACUGAACACCUCUACCCCUGACCUGCACUGAAACCUAGCCACUGAACACCUCUACCCUGUCCUGCACUGAAGCCUCUGAACACCUCAAACCCUGACCUGCACUGAAGUCAAGCCUCUCGAACAACUCAGCUCAUGUCUUAUAACCUCAUUCAGUCACUGCUGUGAUCCCUUCCCAACACUAUCAAGUGCUUGGCUCGAUAUGGCUACUCGGAUCUGAGUAAAGGGUAAGGGCCACUUCUGGAUUUAACAAUGGAUUUAAUCCCUUCCUUUCUCUGUGAACCAGACAACCCCGGACUUCCCCUCUCUGCCUCAAAGAGAAGUAAACACAAACAACGUGUUGCAAAUGAAACGAUGCCAAAUCGCAACCUUCGGCAGCCAUUUUGAUUGGCGGUAAGCUCCUGUAACUGUUCCCAGACCUAUGUGACAGUAUCAGAUUUAGCUAGGUUGUUGUUGUUUUUCCACGAGUGCUGCACCCUUAUAAGUACAGCACCAAUUGACGGCUGGACAAGGCGGCCAUCCAACAGCUUAAGUUCUGAUCUUCAAGCCAGUUGAGUCUUUUGAAGAUUCAGUGCUUCAGUCAGUGUUUCCGUAAAAUGAAGGGCGAGAGCAGAGAAAGACAUUAUGCUCACUUCAAAAGAAGCAUCAUCCACUCCAACUCGUCAGACCAGACUCCAACACUGUCAGAAGGCAUCAGUAUCAGGAAAACAGUAAUGCUGUGAACAUGAAUAACCAUGGUCAGUGGUUUUCAGAUAUACAUAUAAAUGGAUUGUGUAGAACGGUCAUAUAGCGCCAAAUUCCUCAGCCUCUGUUCUUCUAAAUUGCCGACCUGCCCAACAAGGGUUCUGGUUUUCACCUCUAGGGGCAGAAUCCCUUGCUCUAAUAAGAAUGUAAUGUCAGUCAAUAACUGCAGGGUGAGCAGAGGUGACCAGGGGGGGUAGCUAUUACUUGAGGGUAGAGACCAGGCAGCGAAGGUACAUUUUCCACCUAAUUCAUGCCUCAAACCUAUUAAAUCUGAGUAUUGUAUUGGAUACUCUCUCUCAGCUAAUUUGUUUACAUUUCCCAUCGUGCAACCUAAACUGUCCUUGGUUACGAAACUCACAAACAAGUACAUCUUAGUCCCUUCAUGCCAACAAAUACUUCCAAACAGAUGACAUAUAAAUGGCAUUUUCUUUUGUUUUUCCUUCAAAGCACAUCAGUUUUCUGAAGCACUAUAUCAUGGAUUCAGGUACAGAAAGAUGCGAUAAUUGAGAAGAAUGCAAAAUGACACAGCACUCAUUUCACUUUAUGAAGCUGGUUAUAGAACUAAAUGCUACCCAGUAAAAGUUCAAUGAGUAACAUUUAAAACUGUUUUCAACAGAUUUACUAGUGUAUUAAAAUCACCUCUGCGUGUCUUGUUAAACACUAUGGGAACAAUCUUUGAUUUGCCAUCUAGAACUGGGAACUAACCACAGUUUUACCCUGUCCCCUGCCAAACAAUAUAAACAUCUCUGAAUUGUAUAACUCUAAAUGUGCAAUUCUUUAAUUAGCUCAUGUUAAGAGUGCAGUUUUGUUAAUGUUGCAUGUUUAUUUCUUGACAUGUCAGAUAGAGCUAAACUGAAUUCUACCUUCACAAUAACCCUAUAAUUUGUAUCAUACUACAGCUAUUUUAACAGCAUUUUAUAAAUCAUAUUUCAGAUUGAAGUAGAAUUUCAGAUCUGAACUCCAUCAUGACAAUAAUGGAACCGUGCUUCAAAUGAAUGUCAAAACAGAGAGGGUUUUUAUCAACUCCAUUUGUUCUCACUACAAACAGUCGAUUCUUCAUUUUAAUUCAUACAAUUUACAUGCCCUCUGCAAUCUACAUAAUUACAGUGCUACCGAGACAGCUUCACUAACUAAGGUCUGUGUGUCAGUUUCCUGUAUGUUAUCCGGACAGACUUUCUUUAUUUCAAGUCAAACUUUAAUUUAACUGGAUGUAUUUUUGACCGUAAAAGUCAUUUAAUGGUGCCAGAUUGUGGUAUAUCAUAAAUAGCUGCUUACUUGUUAUUGGUUUGUUUAUAAGCACCAACAACAGAGGCUCUAUGGUAACGAAAUAGGUUUCCCCAUGUGUUAAUUUGUUCUUCGCUAUGGCAGAAACUUUCCCUCCAGUGGCUAUGACGGUGAUUUCAAAUACUUGCUUGGAUGGGACACUUUAAUAGGCAGCUAUGCCAAAUGAUUUCUGGUGAGUGCUGUUAAUAAGGGGGAAACAGACGCAGAAAAACAGGCACAAAAUAACCAACUGGUGUUAGUUCUGGAAUUGCACUCAAUUUAAGCUCUGUGUUUUUAUCACUGUGUUUCUCAACAUACAUUUGUCACCAUUUUUAUUCAAUUAAGCUUUAGGACCACAGUAAUGUUGACUGAUUUCAUGUGCUCAAAGUUUCCAUUAGAGUGUCAAUCCCAAUACAUUGCUUCAGUCGACAAUUGGGCAAAAACUUUGUCGAUAUGUGGAUCCACACAUAAACAGUGGUUAUGAAAGAUGUAGGAACGCUAUGUCUUUGCCAGCAGCUGAAUAUAUGAAGCCAAAAUACAUUGCGAUUGACUGAUUAAUCAACAGGAACAAGAACAGAGAUAACUUUUCAACCCCAAUCCUCUAUUCAGUGUUUACUGACAAGGUGUAGGAGUAAAGGGUGACAGAUUGAACAGUAAUGAAGGGUAUAGAUUGAACUCCUACUUUUUCAAAGACGUUAACUUGCCACCACGGCCAAGUCGAAGCUGUCAGCUAUUCUGUGGUGUGCUUCACUGUCCUUUCUGUGGCUGUUUGUUUUUACUGACACUAUUUCAAUGUGUGUGCUGCAGAUGGUUCAUGCUCCGUGGUCAAUGUGGUCGGUCAGAGGCUGUGUGUGUUUUUCCACUCCCUGUCAGACAGCAACACCUGGGCGACCCAACCAAACCAAUCACAGUCUGGGGUGUCAACAACACUGCAGCCUGAGUACAGGACAUAUCGACGUGUUAGCAAACAUUGGCCUCCCUGGCCCAGUCCACAUGAUUGGUCGUAGCAAAGUCAUGAUACAGUGAGGCUCUAUUUUAUUCUAUCCUAUUCUAUUAGUUUCUAUUCUAUGUGAUUAUAAUCAUGUCCCUUGUGUCUCCUUGAAGUUGUCAAAUUUUUACCAGUAAGUCCCUAAUGGCAGUGUUAAUCAUUCACUUCAGUUUCUCUCAGAAUUUAAUGAUUCAAUAUGAUCAUGUCCUGGAAAUACUGUCCUACUACUAGGAUCCAUUGGCCAAGCUAAGCCGUCACAGAGGAAAGAGGAGAUGGAAUAAAACAAGGCAUUUUACAAUAACUGUC